rnacentral:rRNA from 1 species
UACGAAGGGGGCUAGCGUUGCUCGGAAUCACUGGGCGUAAAGGGUGCGUAGGCGGGUCUUUAAGUCAGGGGUGAAAUCCCGGAGCUCAACUUCGGAACUGCCUUCGAUACUGCGGGUCUCGAGUCCGGGAGAGGUGAGUGGAAUUCCUAGUGUAGAGGUGAAAUUCGUAGAUAUUAGGAAGAACACCAGUGGCGAAGGCGGCUCACUGGCCCGGUACUGACGCUGAGGCGCGAAAGCGUGGGGAGCAAACAGGGAU